GAAUUUCGUAAUAGUAUAAGUUACUUUCUUUUCUCUUUUUAUCUUCUUUUCAGAGUUAUAAGUGUUUGCAACAUAGCAGAAGAACAAGUUUUUUCAUGAAAAGCACAUGACUUGAAGAGGGCACAAGCUAUCAUUUUUUUUCAUGAAAGCACAUACAUGCGUUGCAAAUGGACUUGAAGAUGUUUGAAAUGGCAGUCGCGUCCUAGCUUGUUGCUGCUGCACAUAUUGGGCACCAAUGUAUGGCUGCUGCACAUAGAGAAUCAUACAUGAACCGAUGUUACUGGAUCAACCGGGACUGGUAUACGACUGAUUGGAGUUCCUUGUGCCAUAGUUUCACCCGGCACCUACAAAAAUGAAGAGGAAUCAUUAAUUGUGAGAGAAACUUUGAACAACAUGUGAGACAAAGAUGGAGUUUUCCUCCCAUGAAGUUAUCUCAGAGACAAACCUGCGUGCCCAUCAGGAAAUUUCCAUACCGCUCCAAAAUUGCUACAGAAAAACAAAGGGAGAAGAAGAAAUCAAAAGGUUUUCAGAUCCAAAAAGAAGAAGGGAACAAGAUCAGGAGAAUUGAAAA